GAGAACAAAGCACCCUGAUCCUCAGUCACUGGAUAAAUGAACAAAGCACAACUUGUCCUUCAAGGGUUUUGUGAGGCAGUUUCUUCUAGAACAUUUUUAGUGUGGUAAGUCAGCUUCCCUUACAAUGAACAGAGACACUCGCCCCAGAUGUUCUUCUGACCAAGAGGAAAAGGCUGAAGAAACAUGACCUGGUCUACUUGGGAGUCAAGAGGUGCUUCUGGAUAUGCCUCUGUGAAUGGGCUUCACAUGUGGAAAGAGAUGGAGCUGCCUCAUAGGGAGGAGGUGUCUGUUUCUGCAGACACUGGACUUAACUGAUCACAGGAAGAUACAGAUAUUAACUGAUCACAGUUCUCUCUGUGAACACCUGCUUAUGGAGAAUCAAAAUGCAGAAUUCAAAAGCAUCCCCAAACAAGAGUGUUCACAUGGGGCAGGAGGUGUGCAGAGGCAGAGAUGGACAAAGGAUGGAAAGAGUGAAGAUGACUCUAGAAGCCAGAUGAUGGAGUGCAUGAUUGAUCCCACCAGCAACAGG